UAAAGGCCUCCCCUGACCAUCACCCUAUAUACAACAGUCCCCCCACCCUUUUAUCUCCUCCUGCUCACCUGUUUGAUCUGUUAAUCUUAUCUGUUUCAUGAAUCUUCCUCACCAGAAGGUAAACCACUUCAGCUGACCACCGCACCCCCAGCAGCUACAACGUGCAGUAGGCGCUCAGUGCAAUGGCUUGACUAUUACAACAAGCAGACAGCAGAAAAAUGAAAUCAACAGAUACUUAACUGAGCUCCCACGACGUUCAAGGUGCAUCUGCAGGGGACACAGAGGGGUGUGCGGCCCUGCCUUUGAGACGUUUUUAGACCAGAUGAAAGGGAGAGACUUGCACGAGCGGAACUGAUCACUGGGAAAGGGUAAGUGCCACAAAAGUGGGUGGAAAUUCAAAACAGAGACCGAGGUGUUGCCACUGGGCUAGGCGUUGGAAGAGAGGCUUAGACUCGCAAAGGCUUCCGGGUGGCUGAUAAGACAGAACAAACACUCAAGACUUGUUGACCCAAGUGACCAUGCUUCACAUGCUGGAGUAUUCCCUGGGAAGGCGGACAGGGCCCAAAUUGUGAAGGGCUUUAAACGCUGACCUCAGCAGGGCCCAAGGACCUACCUGUUUCGUCGUGGAGACUGUCCCACUUUGUGACCACAGGACUUUCCUCCCGAACGGACCCAUGCGGGUCAGGCUGGUCGCAUUCUGGGUCUACUGGCGGCUCUGCGGACGCCGCCAGGCUCCGGCUGAUCCCGCAGGGCACCGUGCACCAAGUCGGACCUUACCAUUAACUCACCUUGGGCCACUCGGUGGUGUCCACCCAGUACAAGGUGAUUUUUCGGGCGAUCAUGACCUCCUGCACUCGCUUGGGCAGCAACUUCUCCAUCACCUGCUUAGGGGCUGGCGGCAGGCGCUGGGCCUGCGCCUCGCACCCGGACACGAACUGCAGCAGCUCCCUCUGCGAAUGCGGGCAGGGGGCCAGCAGGAAGACCGCGUUCACGAAGCCCCCGAGCGCAGUCUCGGCCUCCUUGGCCUCGCUCUCCACGUCCAGCAGUCUCCUCCCGCUGCUGCGCAGGAUCGGCUUGGUGGGCGACGUGAUCUCGGGCCGGUCCCACUGGUAGUCUAGCAGCGUCUCCAUCAGGGCGCCGUGCGUGUGGCUGGCCCUGGACGCCGGGCCCGGCAGGUGGGCGCCGUGGGCGCCGUCCCCGAGCACGGCGUCCAGCUCCUCCUCGAAGUCCUCCCAGGAGCGGGCCCCCAGCUCGCGGAAGUCAGACACGCGGGACGGCCGGCUCCGCGCCCCCUGGGAGUCAAAGAACUUGAAGGCCCAGCGGACCCUGGCCAGGCCGAAUCGGCAGCUCAGGUAAGUGAGGAGGCGCAGGGCGGCCCGCCGGGCCGGGCUCCGGCCGGCGGCACCGCCCGCGGUGUCCAGCAGCAACAUAACGUUGUGACAGCAGGCCAUGCCGGCCGCGCCGCCGCCCCCGGGCUCCGGCCGGGGCCCGCGCCGCCGUCCUCUCGGCCCUCGCCUCAGGGAACCAGCGCCAUUCACCACUUUCCCUCAGGAGUCCCGGUGGAAAAGCUCCCGCGCUCUCCAAGCGCUGCUGCCAUUGGCGGAGUCAGCCCCCCGACUCAGCUCCUAUUGGUCGCUCGCCUUACGUAACUUACGUGAGUAACUCCCAGCCUUGGCGCUGAUUGGAAGGACGACGGAGAAGCUCUCUGCCUGAUUGGUGGAGGGCGUGGCUGUGAGCGGGGCACCCAGUUCCGGGAGAAACUUAACAUUCAUUGGCUCGGGCCUUCAUUUUAAAAUUUAAAGAGGUUGCGCUUCGGGGGCGUGUCCUUAAGUUUCCCCUUCGGUCAGGAGGCCUGCGUUUGGGCGAUUGUGCGCAGGCGUGGGUGCGGGCUGCUGGGAGAUGUUUACCGAGACUGAAAAUUUAGGACUGGAGGGGAAUUUGAGACGGUCCGAUUCAAACUGGGAGGAAGCCGCCCUAGACUUUCUAUGGAGUAGAAUCCGAUGAUGAAAUUUUCGUUUUGUGUAAUUUUAAAAAAAUUUAUUAACAAUUAAAAGUUCACUUUGCCCCAAUAAUUUCAAGGAGUUUCUCUGAAGAAGGUAAUUAGAUCCAAAUAAAAGACUUAGGUACAUCAUAGAGUUACUUACUUAAUUUGAGAAAGAUUGGAAAACAGCUCAAAUGGGCACGACUAAAGUACGGUACGGCCUAAAGGGAAGGAACAUCAGGUAGCUUUCAAAAAUAUUUUUAUAUGUAACAUUAGAUUUUUUAAAAAAGGACUGUGAAACAGCACAUGCAGUGAGAACCCCCAAUUUUCUAUGCGUAUAUUUUUAAACUGUUAUGAUAAAACUGUACCGAAAGUUGUCUUUGGGUGAUGAAGACAUUAUGGUGAUUUUAAACAUAUAUACCUAUUUCACACUUUUCUGAAUUUUCUAUUCUGUAUCCCCUUGUUACUGUUAUAGUCAGGAAGAAAUAUACUUAGUGACUAAAAAGCAUUUCCUGUUGCAAAUAGAAGAAGCCAGGUUUCUAAUCAGGCAACAAGGUAAAGGGACUAUUCAAGGUAGAGGCUGAGGACAAAGGGGGAGUGUGUUUACGGUAUGCUGUAGGGAGGUCAAGGAAGGGUGGGAGAUGGGACCAGUUUAAGGGACAUGUUCUGCCAUUUUUGAGUGGAGUGUUCCGGAAAUACCAAUUAGAUCCCAUUGGUUAGUGUGUUUUUUGAGUGCUUCUAUAUCUGUGCUGAUUUUCUAACUAUUCUCUCAGUUGUUGAGAGGAAGAUGUUGAAGUCUUCAACUAUAAUUGUGGAUGUGUCUUAUUUCUUUCAGUUCUAUCAUUAUAUUGCAUCAUAUGUUUUGCAUCUCUGUUGUUUGAUGCGUACACCCUUAGAAUUGCUGUGUUUUCUUAGUGUAUUGGCCCUUCUAUCACUAUGUAAUAGUCCUUUCUUGUAACUGGUGCUUUUCUUUGCUCUGAAAUAAAUUUAUCUGCUAUUAA